rnacentral:rRNA from 1 species
CAGGGAUUGCCCCAGUAACGGCGAGUGAAGCGGCAACAGCUCAAAUUUGAAAUCUGGCUCUCGGGCCCGAGUUGUAAUUUGUAGAGGAUGCUUUUGGUGAGGUGCCUUCCGAGUUGCCUGGAACGGGACGCCAUAGAGGGUGAGAGCCCCGUCUGGUUGGACACCGACCCUCUGUAAAGCUCCUUCGACGAGUCGAGUAGUUUGGGAAUGCUGCUCUAAAUGGGAGGUAUAUGUCUUCUAAAGCUAAAUACCGGCCAGAGACCGAUAGCGCACAAGUAGAGUGAUCGAAAGAUGAAAAGAACUUUGAAAAGAGAGUUAAAAAGUACGUGAAAUUGUUGAAAGGGAAGCGCUUGUGACCAGACUUGGGCUUGGUUGAUCAUCCGGGGUUCUCCCCGGUGCACUCUUCCGGCCCAGGCCAGCAUCAGUUCGCCCUGGGGGACAAAGGCUUCGGGAAUGUGGCUCUCUCCGGGGAGUGUUAUAGCCCGCUGCGUAAUACCCUGUGGCGGACUGAGGUUCGCGCAUUCGCAAGGAUGCUGGCGUAAUGGUCAUCAGUGACCCGUCUUGAAACACGGACCAAGGAGUCGUCUUCGUAUGCGAGUGUUCGGGUGUCAAACCCCUACGCGAAAUGAAAGUGAACGCAGGUGAGAGCUUCGGCGCAUCAUCGACCGAUCCUGAUGUUAUCGGAUGGAUUUGAGUAAGAGCAUACGGGGCCGGACCCGAAAGAAGGUGAACUAUGCCUGUGUAGGGUGAAGCCAGAGGAAACUCUGGUGGAGGCUCGCAGCGGUUCUGACGUGCAAAUCGAUCGUCAAACAUGGGCAUGGGGGCGAAAGACUAAUCG